CCUGGGACGAGAGAGAGAGAGAGAGUGUAAAAUGUGGUUAAAUGGAGUCUGAGAACGAUUAGAAUUCAUGCGACAUGUCUGGUAAAGCCCUCUAUAGGAGUCGGUAGAGUGAUGCAAGCAUGGGUGCAUGGCUUGGGAUGCCAGAGGGCUGCUACAUGUGGAAAAAAGAAAUGGCAAGGACAGCAGGAAAUGACCGUCAAGCACAGCACUAGGGCGACCAUUCUGUAAUGAACCCAGCUGUCUACACUCACACACAGGAGGAUGAACGCACUCACGUCCACAACCUGAGCAACUCUCCUCUUUGCCUAAUGUGCAAGGAAAGGAGACCUCCUCAAACCACAGGCAUCGGUUGACUAUUAAAACCCAGAGGUGUGUAACAAACUACGUUGGGGGUGGAAGGGUGGGUGGUAACGGCCCAUCUACGACCAGAACCCAAGGUAAAUACAUUACGCCACUGCUCAGAUGCCCCAUAAACUAUUGGAAGUUGUGUGCAUGUGUGUGCAUGUGUGUGGGAGAGUGAAGGACAGACAGAGGAAGAGACAGACAAGCAUGCAUCUGAUUGUGGCAGCCCAAAUUUCAUAGAUCUGUGACUUUGAAAUCUGUUUAUCAUAACAUUUAAUUUAUUUUCAGGGAAAGAAAAAAUCAUUUUCCUGGGAAACUCUGGCUCUGACUGUUGGAAAAAACUAAAAGGAAAAAAAGGAAACUAAAAGAAAAAAAGAACCUAGCCUAUAUUUAGACCAUCAAUGAAAUUAGCCUAGAGUGGGAACUGGACUCCCGCUUUAACCUAAACCAAAAUGAUGAUCACUUAUAGCUCUAAAUAUAGAUAAUUAUUGUCUCGAGACUGCAGUAUCUAUCGUUUUAAUUGAGGUUUUUAGUCAGUGGAAUGAGCUUUGGAGAAGUCACCACAGCUGAGAAAUGGGAGGUAUUUUGGCUAGGAGAUGAUGCAGCACAGAAAACCUCAGCAUUUCAAUAUUCCCAUUAUAUUCCUCUUGUGGAUGUGGUAGACUUUUUUUUUCUGCCAUGAAUUUAUGACAAUCUUGCCCCACUCUGUCUUCUCUACUUGUCCUAAUACUCGAUUUUUUUUUUAAUAUGCUAUUAAUAUUCAAUUCAAGCACACAGCUAUAUAGAAUGUACAGUGAUACAUAGUACCAGAAAUUGGCUUAAGCUUGAUGUGCACGGAAUGGAAAUUGCAACGCUCCAGUAUUUUAAAAGUCCAGCCGACUUCCAUCACGUCCACGCAGGAGGGAGUAUAGCGCGCAGUGGCACGUGUCUGGAGAAGAGCUUGAUCCGUUUCCAGUUGUGUCUGUACCACAAAGUGAAGUCUCCUGCUCAAUUCACGUCUGUUAAAAACUGCCCACGCUGUCCACACACCCUCGAUUUGGCCCAAUCAGGGCACUGAAGUGGACCACAGGCUCGUAAUAGCGUGUGCAUCACUGCUGCCUACUGACGCUGCAUUCAGGCCGUAUGGGAAAAACAACCCCUGGAGAGUUUAGGCACAAAAACCUAACGACCUUUCUGCUGUGAUCAUUGGCAUUUUAACAGCCACAGUCACUUUCAGCAAAAGUGUCACUCUUGGCACGUGCACUUGCUUCUUUCUGCAGCUUUUUCACAGGAAUACCUGAGUCCUCAGCGAGUCAGUGCACAUCAGCAGUUUGCAAACUUCUUCUGGCAUGCCUCGCUUUGGAAGCAGAAAUAACGUCACUUCGUUCACCAUCCACCACAUUAAAAAAAAAAUAAGAAUAAAAAAAAGAUCAAAGUUGAAUAAAGUGAAAUAUUUAGGCAAAUACAAUAGCAUCAACAUUUGUUUCACUUGGUUUCACUGUGUACACCCCAUUUGCAGUGGCUCUAUGUGGAGCCUAGUUGGGCCUGUCAUACAGUUUCAGAAACACAGACAACAGAGAAAUCACCAGCUGAUGGACACCUAGACAUGUAAAUUUUUUUCAUUUAUUUCUUUUACCUACAAGAUAAAUGCAGUUGAUGCUAAUAUCGCAACUCAAGAGAUGGUUCACAAGUUUUGUGGCAUUUUCAUCCUUUUCAUAUAAUUGUGCAUCCCAGUAUUUACAGAUAAGAUAACAUAAGACUUUAUUGAUCCCACGACAGGGACAUUUUUGCAUUACCUCAGCUCAGGUACAGAUAUCUGAAGGAAAUACAAAAAUACAAAUAAGUACAACCAAUGAAAAAAAAAGUUACUUGGUGAAUAGUGGAGAGACGAGGACCUCUAUCGCGCAAUGCAUAUUUAAUGUUUUACUUGAAUGCAACACAAAACACCAAGCAUUGGCACAGAGAGCCAGAACAUUCAGCGGUUUGACAAACCAAAUGAAUGACAUGACUUAAAAUGUUGUGCACAAGGUUAAAGAUAAUCUUAUGCUGUGAUCAGACAUUGUCCAGCUGCAGUAUAGUUUCAAAACACAGCUGUAAAUUCGACUGAAAAAUCUCACAUAAACUUCCAUUUAGUGACUAAUCUGCACCUUUAGUCCAAUCGCUUUGUCAGUAGCAGGUUAGGUUUACUGUUUGGUACCCACUACAGAGGUUAACAUACUAUGUUUUAAGUAAUGUCUUGCCAUCUAUAAAGUCUACAGUGCUGAUUUGAGCUAUUUUCACAUUUUGGGGAUGUGACAGUGAUGCUGCGCAUCAGCCUCCAAGCACUUGUUAUUGACAUCUUGACUGCACACUUGUAUAUCUACAUGCAUGCAUGCAGAGCAGUGACGGUUUGUGGAUGAGAGACAUCUAAAGUGUGAGCAUCAUUGUGGUCUGGUUCACGUGGCAGCUAAAGCUGUUAUUUUUACUUUUUAACUGUGUUUUGUUUUUGGUGUAUUAAGAAUAUUUUUCAUGUUUACAUUGCACAAAGGCAUUGUCUUCUUGCGGUGACAGCGUCCAGAAAAGAGACAAGUGUGCUUUGACAGCCGUAACGUUCAUUCACUUUGACUGCUGUACUGUAAACAUACAGAAAGCGGACAUGUGUUCUGAGUUGGGACCCCUGGGGCCCUGGCAAGUGACCGACCAAUGAAACCACAACAGAGAGGCCAAGCUGGGGUGUGUGUGCAAGUGUGUGCGUAUUUGUGUGUGAAUUAGGGGGACGCUUCACUGCGAGAGAGGCUUCUGUGACAGCAAUUAAUGUUACUAGUUUACAGACUCUUUACGGUGCUUUACGGGAAGCAUGUGUGUGUAAUUUGGUUACAAGUUCAGGCUUUGUUGUGGAAAACUGCCGGACAAUAACUCCUGAGUGACCCCACCGAGGAUUGAUUCGAAACCUUACGGUAUCCCGUGCUGUCAAAACAGUAACUUAAAAAAAAAAAGUCACCUCAGGUGAUAUUAUUUCUGAACGUGCAACUUGUGUCUUUUUUUUUUUCUUUUUAAUGUACACGUAAAGUGCAGUUUUAUGCUGACAAAACGAGGUUCCCCCGAGGGCGUAAUACAAGACUAUCUCGCUGUUUUUCUAUCUUUGUGCUAAGUACAGACAUGUGCACAAGUGGUGCCAGUCUUCUCAAAUAACUCCCAGCAAGAGAGAUAAAACGUAAACUAUACCUUUAAAACCAAAAUAUAUGCUAAUAAAACUGCUAUAUAACAGUUUUUAAUACUGAGUUAGUCGCUUGUGCAAACCAACCCAACCAGUGAGCCACUGGAACUGUGUGAUUACAUAUGACCUCUAUAUCACUGACAUAAUUCUACUCAAGCAUACCACGUCUUUACUUGCUACGUUGUCUGAGGGCUGUUAAAUAAAGCCACAAAAAAACCUUAAUAAAAACGAUGCUGUAAAAAAAAAUCUAAGCAGUAAAUCAAAGCAGAAUUUUAAACUUUGCUGUGUAAACAUAACUCAGUAACUCUCUCAGAAUAGAAAGCGCACGAGAAAGCAGGAGUGCUGGGCUGUGAGAAGAAGAAGCUGUGAAAUAUCACAUACCAAAGUCUUCGAGGAACCUGAAUAUGAUAUCUUAGUUUCUAAAUCUGGCUCAGUUUAUGGCUGUGUGCAUUUGUGUGUGUGUGUGUGUGUGUGUGUGUGCGUGCAUGAGAUGUUGCCUCCUCUCCUUGCAUCUCCCAAACCCUGACCACAUUCAAAACUUAUUUUAUAAGACCAUUCCGAAUUUAGGUGUGUUUAGAUUAAACUUUUUUUGUGAGUGUGCAUACAAAUUCGCAGUAUUUCAGCAGCAAGCUGCAAAGCUUUUCCCGGUCUCUUGGUGUGUUAACUCACCUGACUCGUGAAAAGAGAGGUUUUACUGGCCCAGCUCAGCAGGCCAGCUCUGGGCUGUGACUCCAAGUGGUGUGAAAGCACCACAUCGCAGACCAUCACUUAACUUGCCUCAAACAAUGUGCUAUUAUAGAGUUUGCUCUGUAUGGGUUAUAUUGCUACAGUGCUGGCAGAUUACAAAGUGCCCCGUCUCAUUACUGUCCAUAUAAGCCCACAGGCCUCGCCAGCACAAAGGAGUUAUUGAGUGAUAAGGGGAAAGAGAUGGACUGUAGCUGCCUGUGAGAGCCCUCACCUUGGAUGCGCUAACCUCGAUUAGGUCAGAGGUGAUGUCAUCAUGGCUAGAGACACAGGUGGGCAUGCUGGGACAAAACGAGAGCAGCUGGGACACAAAGGCCCUGUUUAAUGAGAGUGAGACAUGAGGCCGGAGUGGACUACGUGGGUGGCACAUAGUGUCAUAGCUGCUGAAAAGACUGGUGAGCAAUUAAUCAUCUGAUUCAAGAAUUGGGCAAAGUGUUUAUUAUGUAAGGUCAGCUUUGACAUCAUCGUCGAAGCAGAGGAAGUCUUUCUAGGUUACACUUCUGUUUGAUUGCACUGAUCACCCAAAAUGUUCUUGAUCCCAUAAUAUUGGAGGGAUGCUAUAUUUAUCGUGGUGGUCAGGUCCAACAAUUGUGCAACAUAAUAUGACACACUUACCCCUCAUUAGAAAUGAAGGGUCCUUUGUGGCAGCCUGACAAUCAUUAAAACUUCUCCUCUGGCUUGGCUUGUUUACUCUCUGGUAAUUACAAGGUGAUUGUGUAGCCUGUGACCCAUAUUCAGAGUCAGGUCAGCCAAGACAUGGGGGAUAUUCAGAGAAGUGCACGUAGAGAAAGAGUGUUAGAGUGGAUAGUCAUUUGGUGCUGCCUCAUUAGACUGUGUUAGAAGACAAGCUGGCUCACAGUAUUCUUGCAUUGGAACACUGUAAGACUAAAAUGCUGGUCCUGGCAUAUAAAUGUGUUUGAGAGGGCAUAUGGCAACCUCAUUUAUCAAUUUAUUCACUUGCUGGUAAUAUGGAAGAUACGUGAAUGAGCUGACUGUGUGACGUAUGCAUAUAUAUUUGAGGUGAAGUCAUAUUGAUUUAAUUUAGUUUCUGAAGGAUUUUUCAACCACACAGCUUCUUCCAUGUCAUUCAUUUCAUCUGUCACCACAUCUCCUGGCAGCACGCCUACCAUGACAGAUCACUGCCCUUUAAUAAAAAUGUGCACACAAAAAAUACAGACACAAACCUACACAAACAUAAACUUCUUGCAGUCCGUGAUCCUGUGGCAUAUCUUGCUUCGGUACAAUUAGAUUUUUGCUGUCAUUACAUCAUUAUUGUAGAGUCUUUAUCUUGAGGUGACUGUUGUUGUUAUUUGGCACUAUAUAAAUAAAAUAGAACUGAAUGUAAUUGAAUUACAGAGGCCUGUGUUCAGUGGCUGAAACCUCACCUUGAUGGAUUUAUAAAUAGGGUUUUGUAUUAAUGCUGAAAUACGUUUUACACUUUUCAGUAUGUUUAUUGUGUAAUUAUCAUCACAUAGUAACACCAGCCUACAUGGAGGCCAGUGAAACCUGAUGUUAGGCCAACCUGUGAAAAACUAAUAGGUUGGAUGUCUCCAGCAUCACUAAGGCUGGCAAACUAAAUUGAAUUUGGCCGUGUGUUCGGAUUUUUUACACAUAAGGGCACUGUGAGGUCUUGGGCACUGGGUGUCAAUCCAGGGCUAUUAAAAGGUAUCCAAAUGUGAAGGGACAUUUAAAUCCAUUUCAUUACUCAAAACACAAAGGAAACAACUCAACAGAGCCCUAAACACAAGGCUCAAACAAGAUAUUACAAGAAAUGGCACUUGAUCAACUGCUGAUCAGCAGCAGUUAAAUAAUUGGCAACCAAAUGUAAAGAUACAUGCAUUUCUCCCAGUGCAAAUACUCUUGCGUUACAUGACCUUUGGACAAACUGACAUGUCAGAAAUGUCAGUACACCUUAAAAACAAACCUAUUAGUCAUCCAUCCGUCCAUCCAUUCUCUUCCGCUUAUCCUUUUCAGGGUCGCGGGGGGGCUGGAGCCUAUA